GUGAGGAAUUUUGCGCAAUGGGGGCAACCCUGACGCAGCGACGCCGCGUGGAGGACGAAGUCUUUCGGGAUGUAAACUCCUGUCAGUGGGGACGAUAAUGACGGUACCCACAGAGGAAGCACCGGCUAACUCCGUGCCAGCAGCCGCGGUAAGACGGAGGGUGCAAGCGUUGUUCGGAAUUACUGGGCGUAAAGCGUAUGUAGGCGGCAAGUUAAGUUCAAUGUUAAAGCCCACGGCUCAACCGAGGAGAUGCAUUGAAUACUGGCUAGCUAGAGGGUGUUAGAGGAAGACGGAAUUCCCAGUGUAGCGGUGAAAUGCGUAGAUAUUGGGAGGAACAUCGGUAGCGAAAGCGGUCUUCUGGGACAUACCUGACGCUCAGGCACGAAAGCGUGGGGAGCAAACAGGAUUAGAAACCCGGGUAGUCC
rnacentral:rRNA from 1 species